CGCUUUCGCUUUCUCCGAACAAGUGGAAAAGUGGGUUGAGAUCGGUGCGCUUACAGGGGCCUUGAAAGAUGCAGAAUAUCUGACAAAGCGAGAAAUUGAAGAAAAGAACUGAGAGUAGUGAAAGCAGAACUGGAAGUUAACAAUUUUCUUGAGAAGGUUGCUUAUGAGGAAGAAUCAAUCUUACAUUUGAAACAAGAAUCAGAGCAGCUUCGAGCGUCAUUAGAGGCAAAGAAGUUGGAAACUGAAGAUGUGACGGAAAAAUUGAGGUCCAUGAAAAGCAUAAUUGGAGAGCUUGAGUUUGAGAAAGGAAUUUUGCUCCAAGAUAUCACAAAGUUAUCAACUGAAAGGGAGGGUAUGCUAGCUCAUAUUGAAGACAUGUGUGAGAGGAUUGGGGAAUUAUCUGGUAAGGAUCUGCAAUUGAUGAAGACUCUUGACGAGAUGCUGAAUACUACUGCAGAUGGAGAUCAUUGGUCAACGGAUCUUGUUGACUUUGACAAGCUGCAUGUUGCUACUGUAAAUGAGAGCAAAUCGUACUUUUUCUGCCACGACUAAGAAACACGAAGCAAAUUUUUGAUGGGCGAGCUCCUCUGAGAGAGGUUAAGAAUUUGCACGUGUAGAUCGGGGAAGAAGUCUGAACUCAAGCAGAAGAAAUGCGGUCAAGGAUUUGGUCGGGUAUCGAGCAAGCUAAAUCACUGUAUCUAAACCUCUGUUGGGAGCUCCAAAAACCAGCAUUAUUAGAUAUGGAGAAGUGGGGGAAAAAACAUUGUCUAAUGCUUGUUUCAGUAACUACCACAUGUGAUAGAAAAUAUGGCAAAUGUUAUUUUAGAAAGAAAUAAUUGUUUUUGCAUUAUUUAGUAUUUUGUAAGUUUCCUUCUAAAGGAAGGAAACCUGACCUGCUUUUGUUUGUUCUACUCUUUAUUUAAAUCUGCAAGUUGAGCUUUCCUUAUAGGGAAGGAAACCUCAAACUUAUAUUUUAUUUCAUUUUAUGUUUCCUUCAUAAGAAGGAAACCUUAAUUGUGGCUUCUAUAAAAAGCCACCAUGCAGCACAUGUAAGGGAGUUCGAGGAGUUGGAAUGAAUUGCUGUUCUAUUCCCCUAUCUA